rnacentral:rRNA from 1 species
AACGAACGCUGGCGGCAGGCCUAACACAUGCAAGUCGAGCGCUACCUUCGGGAAGUGGAGAGUGGCGCACGGGUGAGUAACGCGUGGGAAUUUACCUUCUGGUACGGGAUAACGUUUGGAAACGAACGCUAAUACGGUAUGAGCUCUACGGAGUAAAGAUUUAUCGCCAGAGGAUGAGCCCGCGUAGGAUUAGAUAGUUGGUGGGGUAACGGCCCACCAAGUCAACGAUCUUUAGCUGUUCUGAGAGGAAGAUCAGCCACACUGGAACUGAGACACGGUCCAG